GCGAGUGAAGCGGGAAAAGCUCAAAUUUAAAAUCUGACGGUUUUACCGUCCGAGUUGUAAUCUGGAGAAGCGUUUUCCGCGUUGGACUGUGUACAAGUCUCUUGGAACAGAGCGUCAUAGAGGGUGAGAAUCCCGUCCAUGCCACAGACUCCCAAUGCUUUGUGAUACGCUCUCGAAGAGUCGAGUUGUUUGGGAAUGCAGCUCAAAAUGGGUGGUAAGCUCCAUCUAAAGCUAAAUAUUGGCGAGAGACCGAUAGCGAACAAGUACCGUGAGGGAAAGAUGAAAAGCACUUUGGAAAGAGAGUUAAACAGUACGUGAAAUUGUUGAAAGGGAAACGCUGGACGUCAGUCGCGUCUUACUGGACUCAGCCUUGCCUCGGCUUGGUGUAUUUCCUGUGAGACGGGUCAACAUCGAUUUCGACCGGUGGACAAGGGGGUAGGGAAUGUGGCACGCCUCGGCGUGUGUUAUAGCCCUGCCUCGUAUGCAUCGGUGGGGAUCGAGGCCCGCAGCGCGCCUUUUUGGCCGGAGGUUCGCCUCACGUAUCGCGCUUAGGAUGUUGGCAUAAUGGCGUUCAGCGAC
rnacentral:rRNA from 1 species